CACAAAGGUCACCACUGGCAGUCUCCUAUGGCCCGAUGUCCGGAAGGGCCCCUCCGUGAAGCUAACCAAGUUUCCACAGCACCUGCUCGGCCUGGUGUGUCUGCCCGGCCCCUCCCCUGCUCACCACCUACUUUGUGCAGCUGGAUGGCGAGCUCCUGCAUCUCCGCUUCGAGCCGGUCGGCAUAGGCCAGCUCCAGGGCAUCGCUGGGGGGACGGGCGCUGCUGUGCCAGCGGGCGAUGGCAGAGGUCAUCUUCCUCUUCGGCCCAAACAAGCUGUAGGGGUGAAGGAGAGAGGUGUACAGGUCUGCGGUGCGCACAGGGGUGCCAUGGACCGUCCUUCCACCAAGACGGUCCCCUAGGAAAGGUCCCACCUUUGAAGGGGGAGAGUGGCCCCCAGGAUCCUGGGACAGAUGACAGAAACAAAGGGUUCUCCAAAGUGACCCCGGUUGGGGCUGGCCUCCCCUGCCUGCUUCCUCUCCCUGCCUGGCUGCUGCUUUCACUCAACAGGGAGGUCAGGCCAGCUGGGGCCAGGCCGUGCAUGGUCUCCCACCAACUCCGGAAGCUCUCAGAAGUGGACAGCAGAAGUCCGGAUGCCCUUACCACAGCAGCGUCAGCGGGCCAGCCUGGGGACCGGAGAGGCCGGCCGGCUGCAGAAGCGAGCAGACUUCCAGACAGGGUGGCUCGUUCCACCCCAACGCGGGGACGUUGGGAGCUAAGCUAGCCCCUUUGGGCUGGGGGAAACGAGAGGCCCGCGGCCACGAAGGGCCCCUCUGCGCUCACGUGAUGCCGAUUUCCUUCAGGUCGCUCUCCGUGAGGGUCAGGAAGAUGCGGAGGUCCACGUCCUGCUCCUCGAACACCUGCAGAAAGAAACCCUGGGGAGCCCCGGCAUGGCCGUCACAGUGACCCUGGCCCUGCGGAGGGAGCGUGGGGUGCAGGCACGUCAGCCGCUUCUCCUGAAUCCUCAUUUCCAAGUUGCUCCAAGCUUCUGGGUGAUUCAGAGUUUUGAAAAAAGUUAUUCUGACUACUUCUGCCAGUUUAUUGCCUUUGAUGGAGGAGCCAACUUUCAAAGGUUGUUACUCUGCCAUUUUCCUUAACCUCCUUUCUCAAACAGCCUUAAGAUCUCACCACCACCACGCCCUCUCCCAUCAACA